UACAGAGGGGGCAAGCGUUGUUCGGAAUUACUGGGCGUAAAGGGCGCGUAGGCGGCCUUCUAAGUCGAACGUGAAAUCCCCGGGCUCAACCCGGGAACUGCGUCCGAUACUGGAAGGCUUGAAUCCGGGAGAGGGAUGCGGAAUUCCGUGGUGUAGCGGUGAAAUGCGCAGAUAUCAGGAGGAACACCGGUGGCGAAGGCGGGUCUCUGGGCCGAUAUUGACGCUGAGGAGCGAAAGCGUGGGGAGCGAACAGG
rnacentral:rRNA from 1 species